AUGGCGGAGGAAUCGUGGAGCAACUCCCCUCCGUCUGCCAAGAGAAUGGCGGAGGCAUCAUGGAGAAACUCCCAUCCGUCUGCCAAGCAUCAUCGUGGUGAGGCGUCUGGCAAGGAGCAGCUGGUGGUCGACGACAAUGUUCCGGUCCCCGGGCAGAAGCAGGACUACACCGUACCGCUCAAGGUUGAUAUCCACCUGAAGGAGCUGUUGGAUGUCGUAUGCACCAGCAAUCCAGACAAAGCCGACAAGAGGAUCCGCCAGAUGAGGAGGAGGCUCGGCGGCAUGCUUUCUCGGUCGAUCGGCGUUGAUGUCGAGUAUACCAGGGAAGAUGAACCUCUGCAAAUGGAUGCAGUUCUGCAGUUAUGCGUGGAGGAUCUCGUCCUGGUAUACCACAUCAGCGCAGCAACCAAAUGGCCCAAGGAACUCCGCCCGCUCCUGCAAGAGAAGAAGCUGUACACCUUUGUUGGCUUCUGCAUUGGAGGUGAAUAG
rnacentral:rRNA from 1 species